rnacentral:lncRNA from 1 species
GUGCAAGCCUCGCUUCUCAGCCAGUUGGCGCCUUGGGAAAUCUGCCAGUAGGGGGCAGUAGAGGGCCAUAACAAGCCUGGAGAAGAGAAAGCUUUGCAAUGAAUAUAUCUUCAUACAGAUUUACUUUCACUAAAAUAACUGGCCAUUUCUGUUUCCUGAUGGACUGACUGCCAUCCAUGCUUCUCAUCCCAGCCUUUAGUCACUGCAAAUAAUAUUCAACCAUCACAGAGGAGGGAAGAGUGACAGCACACACUCCUGAAUCAUUUAGGGACCACUAAUUUUCGGGGAAAAAAUGGUUUUUUGAAAGAAACAGAAAGCAUUUGAUGGGUCUGGAGAACAGCUGAGAAGAAGGACAAGCACAAAUAACUCUGCAUGGAUUCCAUGGACUAACAUGUUCUGGAAACUGCUAUAAGGAAUAAAUUCUUCUGCGUAGGGUUUGUUUGCAUGUUAGCAGCUACUAGAAUGAUAAUUUAUAUAAUAUGCUGGACAGAAUAACAACAAUGAUCAGCCACUUUGCUUUUAUUUCUUCAAAGAACAUUGAGGUCCUACUGUGUACACAUAAGACAAAGUCCCUGCUGUCAAAAAAAAUAUUUUUAAAUCCAACUCUAAUAAAAAUAAGAAUAAAAAAGUGAGAGAACUGGCUAGGAAGGACAUUUUCCAAUGUUUCCUUCCAUUAACGAGGCACGUGGUAUGAAAGCGUUCUUUGAAGACAGUUAUUCAAAUGUACUUGUGUUUUUAAUGUCAUUUUAAUGUGAACAUAAUUCCUUUCUUUGUUUUUUGGUACCGCGGAUCUAACUCGUGACCUUGCGCUAUGAGGCAGGUGCGGUGCCACUGAGCUAAACCCUCGGCCCCAUAAUUCCUUCCUUUAUUCUUCAAACCUUUUUUGGUGAAAAAUUCUACACGUACAUAAAUGUACAUUUAAAAGAAUUAUUAUAAAUAUCUAUGUAAGCACCAUUGGGGAUUAAGGUCAGAAACUACAAUGUCAAAGGCACUCUUCCUUAUAACCCUACCUGCCAGACCUAACCACGAUCCUAAUUUUAUAGUAAUCCCUAUUUGACUUUUUUUUGUUUUUUGCCCCCAUAGUGUUCUCCACUAAAUGUGCAUCUAUAAACAUAAUACGGUUUGAUUUAGCUUGUUUUUAAUUUUUAUAUACAAAAGCAUAUCGUAUGCAUUUUUCUGGAUUUCUGUUAUUGUUCCAUAUUUCAUUUUUGAGAUGUCUCCAUGUUGUUCCAGGUAGCUGAAUUCCAUUCCUCUUCACUGCUAUGUAAUACAAAGUAUAUAAAUACUGUUUGAUGAUCAGUUUUCU